rnacentral:tRNA from 1 species
GCAUUAUUGGUCCAGUGGUUAGGAUCCUUCUCGUAUGUAAAGAAGGGGCCCGCGUUCGAUUCGCGGAUAAUGCA